AGAGAUCUUUUACGCAACAAUAUUUCCCAUGACAAAGAUACAUUUAUUUGAAAUAUGGUGAUUCCUCCAGUUUUGUUUUAGUUUUUUUCUUCUAUGAAGUUCAAGUAAAAUUACAAUGAUCAUUUUUGGUUUAAAAAAGAAACUUGUAUACAAAUGUUCACACCAGAAUUAAUCCUAAUAGACAAAAAGGCUACAAAUCUGUGGGGCCACCAGACCCGCCCCCGAGGUCCCGAAAGCCAAUCCGCGCGCACGCUUCCCGGCCCCGCCCCGGCGUCCUCCUCCGCCCCGCCCCUCCCUCCGUCCACCAGAAGGUCAGUUUGUCAGGCAGGCAGGGGGCGUCCUGUCCGAGCAGCUGGAGGUUCUGCGUUUCUCCCGAGCGGCUCUGGCCUUGCUCCCUCCGGCCAGCGGCGGCGGCUGCAGCGGCGGCAGCGCAGUCCCUCCGGGAGGCGCGGUGUGGGCCGAGCGGCUGCCGCUGAGCUUCGUGGCCAGCGCCGCGGCCGCGGCGGCGGCGGCGGCGGCGCGGCCCCGAGAUGGUCCGCGGCAGGUAUUCGACGUGGGUGGCGCUCCAGCAACCUGCUAAACCGGCGAGGGCUCCCCCGACGUGAUGUGCUCUCAUAAACUGUGGAU